UACGGAGGGUGCAAGCGUUAAUCGGAAUUACUGGGCGUAAAGCGUGCGUAGGCGGUUCGUUAAGUCCGUUGUGAAAGCCCCGAGCUCAACUUGGGAAUUGCAGUGGAUACUGGCAAGCUGGAGUAUGGUAGAGGAAGGUGGAAUUCCCGGUGUAGCAGUGAAAUGCGUAGAGAUCGGGAGGAACACCAGUGGCGAAGGCGGCCUCCUGGACCAAUACUGACGCUCAUGCACGAAAGCGUGGGGAGCAAACAGG
rnacentral:rRNA from 1 species